CCACCCUGAGCUCCACUCAUCUAACUACUAAAAUAGCGAAUUAGUAAUAGUACCGACAUGGUCUAGCACACUGAGCCCCACAGGUCACGCAUCGCAUAAUCCGUCUCGUGGGGUCGUCGUGAUGAAGAGGCAGCUUCGGAAGAGCUCUUCUGCGAGCUCUUUCUGAGCUCCUGUGGAUGAUGCGAGCAUAAAGAAGCUUAUUCUGUGUAGCGUUUCCCGAGCUUCCUUAACCACGGAGUCCUUCUGGAGGGAGCAUCUCCUGGGCCCCACCUUCCAGGGACCCACGUCCCGACCCUCUGAGCCAGGGUGUGUGGGAGGAGCUGAGCCCUCCCACUCCGCUCAGUGCCCCUUUGUGGCUGCUUGUAUGGGGCGGAGGUUGCAUCUUGCAACACCGUCUGUGGGCUCCUUCGAAUCCUCUGAGCGUUAGCUGCUCUCUUGGAGGACAAAGGGGCGUCUUCGUGGAGAGACUGGGAAGGAUUUCUCCGACGUGUGGGGUGACUGAAGUCAGUACGAAGCCGACCUGACGUUCCCCCUGCCUGGUUUAAGGUGUGUGGAUGUUGGCCUCUCACUCCGCCCUGGCGGUGUUGACACAGGUCACUGACGCAACUUCUGCCGGGACUGCAGGGGGGCAGUCAAGGAAGGUGGACGUUCAGACGAGGUGUUAGAAGCCAGAGCAGGAUCCAGGCUGCGGCCACACCCCUGCCCCUGGCAGUGACCUUGUUGAGGGGGCGGGGCAGGGGAGGAAGGUGAGCUUUAACACCUGUGGGGCCCGCACUGCCCUCCAGUGGCCAGUUGUGACCAUUGCAAACAUGCUCGCUCGGGGCCCCAGGCUGUAGCGAAGCUUGGGGAGAAGACAUGGACACGUGUGAUGCACCUGCGAUGGUCAACAAGGCCCCUCACCCACCGAAGACCCCCGAGGCCCCGUUAGGAUCUCCCAGGGCCCCCAGUUCCAUACCUCGUCUAUUCAUUCACUGGUAAAUCAUGCUCUGUGCCAGGCGGUUACUCUGGAUCUUGGAAUAGGAAGCAGGCUUCCUUCUGGGAGGGGAGCCUGGCUCGGGAAGCCCCGCAGACCCAGCCCACCUGACCUCACGUCUGACUCACUAGCCCCAGGAAGAUGAAGAGAGCAGGGUCCAGAGGAGGCGUGAUGGAGGUAACAUCUGGGCCGCAGGUGAAAGGAAGGGCGGAUUCUGUCCUCUGGUUGCAGCCUGGUCACGGCAGAAACGCUCACAUCAAAAGCGCAAAAGUGCGCUCAAACCUACAAGACUUGGCACCAAGGCGCUGAGCAGGAGAUGCCUGCGUAUAAGCAGAGCGGCAGUUAAGGGGGUUGAAGCCCCGCUGUGAGUUUGAGGGCACCCGCCCGGGCACCCGCCUCCUCCUCUUCUGCAAGAUAAGCAUGUGGUCUCGCGGUGCGGAGCUCCCCAGAGCCACGGAACAACGGGCGAGCACUCUCCAGCCACCUCUCUCUAGCUCUGCAGCUGUAUCUGUCCAUGGCUGUGAGCUGCGUGUCUGUCCAUGUGUCUGUCUAUAAAGGAGGGGAGAGACGCUUAUUUUAAGGAGUUGGCUCCCCUAAUCAGGGGAACCAGCGGGUCUUAAACCCGAGGAGCGAGCUGGCCUUCUGGGACUCGGGUGAGAGCUGGCGCUGUGGUCUUGAGUCUGGCGGCUGGUCACCCAGGCAGGGUUUCCGUGUGGCUGAGGAGAGUCCCUUCUGCUUUGAGGAACCGUGGGUUUGCUCUCAAGGCCGUCGACUGUUUGGCUGAGGCCCGUCCCAUGGAGGCUGAGCUGCUUUACUUAAAGUCAACUAUUGGCGUCCCCGUCGUGGCCCAGCGGAUACAAACGUGACAAGUAUCCAUGAGGACUCAGGUUCGAUCCCUGGCCUUGCUCAGUGGGUUAAGGAUCCAGUGUUGCCAUGAGCUGUGGUGUAGGUUGCAGAUGAGGCUCAGAUCCAGUGUUGCUGUGACUGUUGUGUAGGCCGGCAGCUGUAGCUCUGAUGAGACCCCUCGCCUGGGAACCUCUUUGUGCUGCAGGUGUGGCCCUAAAGAAAAGGAAAAAAAAAAAAAAA
ensembl:lncRNA